rnacentral:rRNA from 1 species
GUCUAUGGCCAUGCCACCCUGAACGUGCCCAGUCUCUUCUGAUCUCGGAAGCUAAGCAGGUUUGGGCGUGGUUAGUACUUGGAUGGGAGACCACCUAGGAAUACUAGGUGCUGUAGGCA